rnacentral:rRNA from 1 species
UGAGCGGAGAUAUAUGGAGCUUGCUUUAUAUAACUUAGCAGCGAACGGGUGAGUAACACGUAGAUAAUCUAUCCUAUACUGGGGGAUAGCCCGAUGAAAGUUGGAUUAAUACCGCAUAUAGCUAUAUAGUUGCAUGAUUAUGUAGUGAAAGAUUUAUUGGUAUAGGAGGAGUCUGCGGCACAUUAGCUAGUAGGUGAGGUAAAGGCUUACCUAGGCGACGAUGUGUAGCCGGUCUGAGAGGAUGAACGGCCACAAUGGAACUGAGACACGGUCCAUACUCCUACGGGAGGCAGCAGUGGGGAAUAUUGCACAAUGGGGGAAACCCUGAUGCAGCAACGCCGCGUGAGUGAAGAAGGUUUUCGGAUUGUAAAGCUCUGUUAGCAGGGAAGAGGAAGGACGGUACCUGCAGAGGAAGCCACGGCUAACUACGUGCCAGCAGCCGCGGUAAUACGUAGGUGGCAAGCGUUGUUCGGAAUAACUGGGCGUAAAGGAUGCGUAGGCGGUUAAACAAGUUAUAUGUUAAAUAUAUAGGCUUAACUUGUAGAAAGCAUAUAAAACUGUUUAACUAGAGUGCAGGAGAGGUAAGUGGAAUUCCUAGUGUAGCGGUGAAAUGCGUAGAGAUUAGGAAGAACACCAGUGGCGAAGGCGACUUACUGGACUGUAACUGACGCUGAGGCAUGAGAGCAUGGGGAGCAAACAGGAUUAGAUACCCUGGUAGUCCAUGCUGUAAACGAUGGGUACUAGGUGUGGGUUGUGAAUAACAAUUCGUGCCGUC